rnacentral:lncRNA from 1 species
AGACCUGCGAGUUUGGUGUGUGCAGGAAAUAGACUGUUGGCAGCUCUUCCACGUGCACCUUUGAGACCGUGACUUCCAAAGCUUCAGGGCCAAGGAGGCCCACAGCCAUCACAGGGAUUGGAGGACUCCCAAGUGCAAGAAACUGGGCUCUAAGUCUCUGCCAGGUGGCUAUGGGCGGAGGAGGAUGAGGAGGAAAGAGAUGCCUGCCUGGAUGGUUCUAGCUCACAGAAGUUCUUGCUUCCUCUUGUCCAGAAAGCCAAACCAUGCAUCCUGAGCCCUUCACUUCUUCAACAGAUAUUUCCUGAGAGCCUGCUAUGUGUCCCGCUGUGAGGAUGCAACAGAGCACACUACUGACAAGGUCCCCGCCUUCCAUCCUUGUCUUCUCAUCCAGAUUGCUGACUCCUGGGGCUGGAGGGAAGCAGGCAGCACCUCAGGCUGAUUUCGCGUGAUAGGGAAAUGAAGAGGAGAGGAGGACGACAGGGAGAGAAAGGAGGAAAAACUGCGAAGGAAGAACAAGCCGGAGCUCCGUCUGCCUUUCAGAAAUGACAUCUCUGCGGAAUUCAAUGCGGCCUAUUCUCAAGCAUCGGAGAAACUCUUUUCUUGCCUCCUCCUUCACCCCACCCCAACCA